UACGUAGGGCGCAAGCGUUGUCCGGAAUUAUUGGGCGUAAAGAGCUCGUAGGCGGUUGGGUAAGUCGGGUGUGAAAACUCCAGGCUCAACUUGGAGAUGCCACCCGAUACUGCUCUGACUUGAGUUCGGUAGGGGAGUGGGGAAUUCCUGGUGUAGCGGUGAAAUGCGCAGAUAUCAGGAGGAACACCGGUGGCGAAGGCGCCACUCUGGGCCGAAACUGACGCUGAGGAGCGAAAGCGUGGGUAGCAAACAGG
rnacentral:rRNA from 1 species